rnacentral:tRNA from 1 species
GAGACCGUAGCUCAGUAGGCAGAGCACCUGAUUGUGGUUCAGGACGUCGCGGGUUCGAGCCCCGUCGGUCUCC